GAUGAACGCUAGCGGCAGGCUUAAUACAUGCAAGUCGAGGGGCAGCAUGAGUGUAGCAAUACAUUUGAUGGCGACCGGCAAACGGGUGCGGAACACGUACACAACCUUCCUAUAAGUGGGGAAUAGCGCAGAGAAAUUUGGAUUAAUACCCCGUAACAUAAUGAUGUGGCAACACAUUAUUAUUAUAGCUUCGGCGCUUAUUGAUGGGUGUGCGGCUGAUUAGAUAGUUGGCGGGGUAACGGCCCACCAAGUCUACGAUCAGUAGCUGAUGUGAGAGCAUGAUCAGCCACACGGGCACUGAGACACGGGCCCGACUCCUACGGGAGGCAGCAGUAAGGAAUAUUGGUCAAUGGACGCAAGUCUGAACCAGCCAUGCCGCGUGAAGGAUUAAGGUCCUCUGGAUUGUAAACUUCUUUUAUCUGGGACGAAAAAAGGCGAUUCUUCGUCACUUGACGGUACCAGAUGAAUAAGCACCGGCUAACUCCGUGCCAGCCGCCGCCGUAACAC
rnacentral:rRNA from 1 species